AAUGUGCACUAAUAAGCAGAAAGUGCUAUGAGUGAGAUACAAGAGUAAAUACUCCUAAUCAGAGCAUAGAAAGUCUAUGUGCAGUCCAGUAGGACAAAUACUAGUUAUACAAUACCAGAAGAUAUCCUACGAAUAUUUUAUUCUGUCAGAACCGCCGAGAUCCUCGAACGCCACCAAUAGCAAGUCUACCUAAAACCUGGAGAAGCGUAAAAAAGAAAACGUGAGUGGACAAAAACAAAGCUUUUCAAAAUCAUUUCAUUUAUCAAAUGCUCUAACCCCUCGCCGUAAAACAUGUAUACUUUUUCCCAGAAAUAGAAUAUAAACAUAUAUAUAUAUAUAUAUAUAUAUAUAUAUAUAUAUAUAUAUAUAUAUCAAUUCAAAUCAUGCUACACAUAUUCAUAAUCAUAAGUAUGCCAUGCCAAGAUAUAAACAAGAUAAGUAACUCAGGUGAAAAUAACACAUUAGCCGGAACCCCUGCAGAAGUCUGUACGGCUGAAUUCAUAGCUCAUUAGUCAAUCUAGCCGGAGUCACUACAAGUGACCUAUACGACACUACACUGCACACGAGCCGGAACCACUGAAAGAGUCUGUACGACAAGACUGAGUGUAAUAUAAUUAUGCUCAAUACAACGCUCUCAUGAUAUAUGUGCGAUAAAUCGCUAGUCACCCCUACGAGUCGGAACCACCUAUAAUGGUCGGUACGACAAGAUUGUACACUUAAAUUGGAUCCAAUGUGAGCAUAUGGUGCAGGAGGUGACAUUAUAUACAGGCCUAUGUCAUAUCUCUAGCUAAUCACUAACACCGGGGUGCAGGUGUAUGAGCUCUAUGCUUCUCAAUUAAUCACAACCGUUAUUCACAUUCACAAUUCAUAAACUCAACUGGGUUUACCUGAGCGUCUACAGCACCACAAUUAUAUAUAAUGCAUCAUAUACUGAACAUAAAUUUAUAUGCAUGGCAUUUCAAGGCAUACUUCUAUUUAAACGCAUUUUCUGGGAAAAUAUCAAGUAUAUAAGUAUUUACUGAAAACCAAAAGCCCACUCACUGGUAUAUCGAAGGGUCGUAGCCCCCGAGUCGCCCUUGACUACGCUCGUCCUCGGGAUAAGUCUCCCCUAUAUGCGAAACAACUAUAAAAACGUUAAUUUAAAGCACAUAACCAAUACUAGCUAAUAACUUCUCAUACAUUGCUCAAAUGGGAUGUUUGAAUAUACCAACGUGAUCUAAACAACCUCACGAACAUCCUUAUAUUUUUAGAAAAUUUUUCUGAUGUCCCACGCGCCGGCAAGGGCACGGCAACACGUGCAGGGACCCUAACGGAAUCCCCUAACCCCGUUAGGAAUAUUCCGUUAAAAAAGCAACAUAAACCGUUAAUUCUACCUGACGGCGUCAGAAUAUUCCGUCAACUCUGACGGAAUAUUCUAUCUUCUUCUCCGAUUAACCUCGCCGGUCGCCGUCGCCGUUCAUUGGAAACUGGAAAAUCACGAAAACCUUUAUAUCUCGUUCAAUUCUCAUCCAAAUUCCACGAAACUUGAACCAAAUUGAAGCUUAGGACAAGUAGAACAAAACCUUACCUUUCAAAAGUCCUAAAAUCGACGGAACUCGCCGAAAAUUCCUUCGAUAUUCCGGCUAAACCUGCAACUCCUUAUUCCCGAGCUUCCCAACGUGCAAAUCACUUCAUUUUUCUUCUCUGAGCCUCGUGAAGACGAUCUAAAGCUCCCUAUAACUUCAAAACUCUCAGAAAACUACACAUUUACGUGUGCAUGAACAAUACCUCAAAUUGGAGGUUAUGGUUUCUCGGGUUUUCGAGGGUUUCAAGUUCUAAAAAUGGUACGAAUGGACUCAGGAGCUUGUAGGGAACAAGAACAUCACUUUUUAAACGUCGAUCCGCGACUGGUUGAAGGAGUUUGAGGUUGACCAUACGGUUUGUAUGGAAAUGGAAGGAAAUCCGAGAGGGAAGGGAGAGAGAGAGAGUCAACGGAAGAGAGAGAAAAG
rnacentral:lncRNA from 1 species